CUUGAAUUUCUAUAAGAGGUCCAGCCUGCCCAGUGACUUUGUUCAACGGCCGCGGUAUCCUAACCGUGCGAAGGUAGCGUAAUCACUUGUCUUUUAAAUGGGGACUUGUAUGAAUGGCAUCACGAGGGUUAUACUGUCUCCUUUUUCUAAUCAGUGAAACUAAUCUUCCCGUGAAGAAGCGGGGAUGAAACUAUAAGACGAGAAGACCCUAUGGAGCUUUAAACUUAAUAACAAAUACUAACCCCAUUUUAACUUUCAGAACAUUAAUUUUAACUCUAGUACCAUGAUUAUUAGUUUUAGGUUGGGGUGACCGCGGAGUAAAAAUUAACCUCCACAUUGAACAGGACCUAUCCUUGAGCCAAGAGCCACAACCCUAAGCACCAACAAAUUGACAUUAAUUGACCCAAUAUUUUGAUCAACGAAC
rnacentral:rRNA from 1 species